rnacentral:tRNA from 1 species
GCCGCUGUGGUGGAAUUGGCAGACGCAACGGACUCAAAAUCCGUCGGAGUAAAAUCCGUACCGGUUCGACCCCGGUCAGCGGCA